GACGAACGCUGGCGGCGUGCCUAAUACAUGCAAGUCGAACGCAGUGGGGACGGGUGAGUAACACGUGGGUAACCUCCCAUCAGAGGGGAUAACACUUGGAAACAGGUGCUAAACCGAUACUGAUGGAUGGACCCGCGGUGCAUUAGCUAGUUGGUGGGGUAACGGCUCACCAAGGCCACGAUGCAUAGCGGAUCUGAGAGGGUGAUCGGCCACACUGGGACUGAGACACGGCCCAGACUCCUACGGGAGGCAGCAGUAGGGAAUCUUCGGCAAGGGGCGAAAGUCUGAUCCAGCAACGCCGCGUGAGUGAAGAAGGUGGUCGGAUCGUAAAGCUCUUUUGUUAGAGAGGCGGUAUCUAACCAGAAAGCACCGGCUAACUACGUGCCAGCAGCCGCGGUAAUUC
rnacentral:rRNA from 1 species